rnacentral:rRNA from 1 species
AGAACGAACGCUGGCGGCAUGCCUAAUACAUGCAAGUCGAACGAACACUUCGGUGUUAGUGGCGCACGGGUGCGUAACGCGUGGGAAUCUGCCCUUGGGUUCGGAAUAACAGUUGGAAACGACUACUAAUACCGGAUGAUAUCGAAAGAUCAAAGAUUUAUCGCCCAGGGAUGAGCCCGCGUAGGAUUAGCUAGUUGGUGAGGUAAAGGCUCACCAAGGCGACGAUCCUUAGCUGGUCUGAGAGGAUGAUCAGCCACACUGGGACUGAGACACGGCCCAGACUCCUACGGGAGGCAGCAGUAGGGAAUAUGGACAAUGGGCGCAAGCCUGAUCCAGCAAUGCCGCGUGAGUGAUGAAGGCCUUAGGGUUGUAAAGCUCUUUUACCCGAGAUGAUAAUGACAGUAUCGGAGAAUAAGCCCCGGCUAAACUCCGUGUCAAGCAGCCGAC